rnacentral:lncRNA from 1 species
GUGGCAGUUUCGUUAUUUUCAUCACAUUAUAUGUAUUGGUUGUCAAUGAAUUGAUGCCUAAAAGGCAUACUGCCUCGGUUCAAUGAACAAUCGAAACAUAAACCCUACAACUAUUACACCUAACUCAGACCUUUCAGCUGACACAUUUUCAGUAGCAAAGAUAUUUCCCCAGUUGGCAGGGUGAACCGAGAUAUAUAAUCCUACAUAAGGGGUUAUUGCCUCGGUUGGGAUGGGG